rnacentral:rRNA from 1 species
UUAAGUUAAUAAGGGCGCACGGUGGAUGCCUUGGCACUAGGAGCCGACGAAGGACGUGACAAACGACGAUAUGCCUUGGGUAGCUGUAAGUAAGCGAUGAUCCAGGGAUUUCCGAAUGGGGGAACCCAACAGGUAAUACCUGUUACCUACAUCUGUUAAGGAUGUGAGGAGGAAGACGCAGUGAACUGAAACAUCUAAGUAGCUGCAGGAAGAGAAAGCAAAAGCGAUUGCCUUAGUAGCGGCGAGCGAAACGGCAGAAGGGCAAACCGAAGAGUUUACUCUUCGGGGUUGUAGGACUGCAAUGUGGACUCAAAGAUUAUAGAAGAAUGAUUUGGGAAGAUCAGCCAAAGAGAGUAAUAGCCUCGUAUUUAAAAUAGUCUUUGUACUUAGCAGUAUCCUGAGUACGGCGGGACACGUGAAAUCCCGUCGGAAUCUGGGAGGACCAUCUCCCAACCCUAAAUACUCCCUAGUGACCGAUAGUGAACCAGUACCGUGAGGGAAAGGUGAAAAGCACCCCGGGAGGGGAGUGAAAUAGAACCUGAAACCGUGUGCCUACAACAAGUUCGAGCCCGUUAAUGGGUGAGAGCGUGCCUUUUGUAGAAUGAACCGGCGAGUUACGUUAUGAUGCGAGGUUAAGUUGAAGAGACGGAGCCGUAGGGAAACCGAGUCUGAAUAGGGCGCCUUAGUAUCAUGACGUAGACCCGAAACCAUGUGACCUACCCAUGAGCAGGUUGAAGGUGCGGUAAGACGCACUGGAGGACCGAACCAGGGCACGUUGAAAAGUGCUUGGAUGACUUGUGGGUAGCGGAGAAAUUCCAAACGAACUUGGAGAUAGCUGGUUCUCUCCGAAAUAGCUUUAGGGCUAGCGUCGACAUUAGAGAUUCUUGGAGGUAGAGCACUGUUUGGGUGAGGGGUUCAUCCCGGAUUACCAAUCUCAGAUAAACUCCGAAUGCCAAUGAAUUAUGGUCGGCAGUCAGACUGCGAGUGCUAAGAUCCGUAGUCGAAAGGGAAACAGCCCAGACCACCAGCUAAGGUCCCAAAAUAAUUGUUAAGUGGAAAAGGAUGUGGGGUUGCACAGACAACUAGGAUGUUAGCUUAGAAGCAGCUAUUCAUUCAAAGAGUGCGUAAUAGCUCACUAGUCGAGUGACCCUGCGCCGAAAAUGUACCGGGGCUAAAACAAUUUACCGAAGCUGUGGAUACCUUUAUAGGUAUGGUAGGAGAGCGUUCUAUGUGUGAUGAAGGUAUACCGUGAGGAGUGCUGGAACGCAUAGAAGUGAGAAUGCCGGUAUGAGUAGCGAAAGACAGGUGAGAAUCCUGUCCACCGUAAGACUAAGGUUUCCAGGGGAAGGCUCGUCCGCCCUGGGUUAGUCGGGACCUAAGGAGAGACCGAAAGGUGUAUCCGAUGGACAACAGGUUGAUAUUCCUGUACUAGAGUAUGUAGUGAUGGAGGGACGCAGUAGGCUAACUAAAGCAGACGAUUGGAAGAGUCUGUCUAAGCAGUGAGGUGUGAAUUGAGUCAAAUGCUUAAUUCUAUAACAUUGAGCUGUGAUGGGGAGCGAAGUUUAGUAGCGAAGUUAGUGACGUCACACUGCCAAGAAAAGCUUCUAGCGUUUAAACAUACUCUACCCGUACCGCAAACCGACACAGGUAGUCGAGGCGAGUAGCCUCAGGUGAGCGAGAGAACUCUCGUUAAGGAACUCGGCAAAAUGACCCCGUAACUUCGGGAGAAGGGGUGCUGACUUAAAGUCAGCCGCAGUGAAUAGGCCCAAGCAACUGUUUAUCAAAAACACAGCUCUCUGCUAAAUCGUAAGAUGAUGUAUAGGGGGUGACGCCUGCCCGGUGCUGGAAGGUUAAGAGGAGUGCUUAGCGUAAGCGAAGGUAUGAAUUGAAGCCCCAGUAAACGGCGGCCGUAACUAUAACGGUCCUAAGGUAGCGAAAUUCCUUGUCGGGUAAGUUCCGACCCGCACGAAAGGCGUAAUGAUUUGGGCACUGUCUCAACGAGAGACUCGGUGAAAUUUUAGUACCUGUGAAGAUGCAGGUUACCCGCGACAGGACGGAAAGACCCCAUGGAGCUUUACUGCAGUUUGAUAUUGAGUGUCUGUACCACAUGUACAGGAUAGGUAGGAGUCUAAGAGAUCGGGACGCCAGUUUCGAAGGAGACGCUGUUGGGAUACUACCCUUGUGUUAUGGCCACUCUAACCCAGAUAGGUGAUCCCUAUCGGAGACAGUGUCUGACAGGCAGUUUGACUGGGGCGGUCGCCUCCUAAAAGG